rnacentral:misc_RNA from 1 species
UGCGAUAACCAAUUAUUGUUGUGUCUGAAACAAUCAAUUUAUACAUUUAUUCUUACCUUACUGUAUGCCAUGUUGAUAAUUUUCGCUGCAAAGGAAGUAUUUCUUACACGUUUUGAGUAAAGACUAUUGCUUUGAUUAUCCAUCAAGUCAAUGACUAUGUUUUCCUUUACAAUGGAUUGAAUAACACUCCCCCUCCCCCAAAAGAGUAGUUUAUUCCCCUGUUCGCUGUUUAAACAGCAUUAUUCGAUUAUUCCAAACUUUUCAUAGACUUGGCUCUGUAUUUGAGGGAUGAUGAUAUUAUACAUGUAAAACAAUAUAAUAAAUCUAUCAUUAUUCUUUAAUGGAAUCAUGAAAUAACAUUAAAAUUAGAAUUAAUAUAAUUAUGUUAGAAGCAUCCUAAUAAGACCACGUAUUUCAAAUUUCACAAAACUCGGUUAAUCGUAUGAUAUCCAUGACGAUAAAGCUUGUCAAACAUGUUACAUGUUAUAACUUUGUUAAACACCUGUGUACUAUAUACAUGUAGUUACCAAUGCUUCUUUGAGCCGAGGAUCCAUUGAAAUCUCAUGCAAAUAAACAUAAGUAAGCAUUUGAAAUGUUGCACUAAUAUUGAGAAGACAAAUGCUGUUUGGAGAGCGAGUCAUAUUUAUAUUCCUAAUACUCCUAAAUGUAAACACAGUUACCAACUUGUGUUACACGUAAUAUUAUCAAGUGCCAUAUAUAUAUAUAUAUAGAGAGAAACCUUGUAUAGAUAUAUAACCAUGGACUUUGUGUCAUUUUAUUAACAUAUUUUAGAAAUGUAUAUAUUAGCUUAAUACAUGACUUAUAAGUUAAUGUCAGGUAAUGUUCGCUCCUCAUUGCUGAAUAUGUACAAUUCAAAGUGUCUCAAAUCUUGAAUGUGUUUACCAGGUAUUUGUUGUGGAUUUUUUAUAUUCUGAGUAUUUUAAUUAAACACAUUCCAAUCUUCUUUUUUUCUAGAAUUCCAGCCAUUCUGUGUUUCAGUGUGUUUCACGUAUAUAACAUAACAGAACAACUCUUUUCACAUGCAUUUAUUAUCGUAUUUUUUGAAUAAUUAUAGUUUAUGAUAUCCUCCACACAUCUUUGAAUGUAAAUCUUUGAAUAAAAACAAACAACGUAUUUGAGACAGUUGACUAAUGAUUCAUGCAAAGAGAAGAGUUAUAUACAUAUUUUUUGUGAUAUAUUUUUUUUAACUACGGUUAAUAUUAACCUAAUUCUUCUUUAAAUGUAAAUUUGUAGAACAAUAACAUAUUAUUUAGCACAUAUGUGUCAUGAAUCUUGUUAAGAGAAGAGCUCUUAUAUACGAUAAUUUUGUCAAACCCUUUUACAUUGUACAUUCAAAAGGUAGAACUUAUUUUCUUUACUAAGAAGCUUUGCUCAGAAAAUUAUAUUCAAAUUUUUCUAUAAAAUAAAUAUACUAGUUUUGUAUUACAUUAAUUUGUUUUAUGUUGGGCAGUAUCAAGAUUUUUUUUAUUAUUUUUUUUUAUUUUCAAAUUGCUGUUAUAUUUUGAUUAAGACGUUAUAGGCAAAUAACCUCUGUGUUGUAUUCUAUAUAAAUGCAAGUGUUAACCAAUAUGAAAUACCAAUCUGCUAUUUGACUGUAUGUUGCUUACAUAGAAAUAAAGAUG